rnacentral:rRNA from 1 species
CCUGGCUUAGGAUGAACGCUGGCGGCGUGCCUAACACAUGCAAGUCGAACGGGACUAUCAAGUGAUGUUUCGGACUGAACUUUUAGUUAGUGGCGGACGGGUGAGUAACGCGUGGACAACCUGCCUCUCACUGGGGGAUAGCAGCUGGAAACGGCUGGUAAUACCGCAUGCGUUCAAUGUGCCGCAUGACACAUUGAAGAAAGAUUUAUCGGUGAGAGAUGGGUCCGCGUCUGAUUAGCCAGUUGGCGGGGUAACGGCCCACCAAAGCGACGAUCAGUAGCCGGCCUGAGAGGGCGGACGGCCACAUUGGGACUGAGACACGGCCCAGACUCCUACGGGAGGCAGCAGUGGGGGAUAUUGCACAAUGGGCGCAAGCCUGAUGCAGCGACGCCGCCGUGAGUGAAGAAGUAUUUCGGUAUGUAAAGCUCUAUCAGCAGGGAAGAAAGGCCCGCAAGGGAGAUGACGGUACCUGACUAAGAAGCCCCGGCUAACUACGUGCCAGCCGCCGC